rnacentral:rRNA from 1 species
CAGUCGCCACGGUAAUACGUAGGUGGCAAGCGUUGUCCGGAAUUAUUGGGCGUAAAGGGCUCGCAGGCGGUUUCUUAAGUCUGAUGUGAAAGCCCCCGGCUCAAUCGGGGAGGGUCAUUGGAAACUGGGAAACUUGAGUGCAGAAGAGGAGAGUGGAAUUCCACGUGUAGCGGUGAAAUGCGUAGAGAUGUGGAGGAACACCAGUGGCGAAGGCGACUCUCUGGUCUGUAACUGACGCUGAGGAGCGAAAGCGUGGGGAGCGAACAGGAUUAGAUACCCCUGUAGUCCCUGUCUCUUAUAC